rnacentral:snoRNA from 1 species
UUGAAUGAUGGCCUCUUUGAAAAUUCAGUUUAAGGUAGAUAUCAACUCUGGAAAAAUUUAGCCUGAGUGUUUACAGUAUGACAGAAUUUUAAGUCACUGAAG